CGUAAAUUAACAGACCCCCCGCCCCCAAAAAAUUCCACAAUGGAAAUAUAGCAGGUCGAGACAGACGUGCACGGCUAGGAAGGAAGGAAAAGUGAAAGCGUCUUCCAACUCGGGGGCUGCCCCCAACUCUCCGCUUACAGCCGCGGAGGACACCGAAGGCCGUUAUCGAGCGUCUGCUGGGUGCCAGGUUCUGAGCCCGACACUUCCCGAAGGUCACGGCUACACACCUUACGCCGGAGCGCACCCCAGUGCAAGUCACCUGUUCGCAGCCGGUCGGAGCCUGCGGUGUGGCCUCCGGAGCCUCCUAGGAACCGGUCCUUGCACGAUUCGGAAGGACGCCGUUUCGACGCAAGACCCAUUACCGAGCUUUACCUGCAGUACCUGGGGAGGCAGAGAUGGGCAGCGUUUGAUGUUAAGGCUCCUGGGCGCUGUGUCGAGAAGGCAGGCUUUGGAGCUAGGCACACCUUGUUCAACUUCCAGCAGAUACUUCUCCCUGCGGUGUGGGCCUGGGCACCGCGGGGGAACCCACUUGUAAGAUGGGAGAGUGAGUGAUACAGACCUACCCCAGGGCUGUUAUAAGAAACAGAAUGUGUAGGGAGCACCUAGUCAAGGACCUGGCUGGGGAGGUACUCAGCGAAUGGUGGUCAUUUUUAUCUUUCUCAACAUUGUUAUCCUUAUUCAUAUCCAUAUUUCAUCCUUGCGCAAGCUUUCAAAAAUCCCUGCUGUGUGCCAAGUCCUGUGCUAUAUAUUGCAGAUGCAGAGAUUAAUAAAUACACCUUUAAUAAAUUAAAGCAGAUGCUCCCCACUCAAGGUGUGACUCCUGGAUCACAAACUCUUGGCAAAACAAAAUGUCCAGGCAUUGUUGCCAAGUGACACUGGCUGCUGUCUCGCUAAGUCUAAGUACAGGUUGCAUGGUGGGGGAGGGGGGUGAAGCCUUCCUAGGUAGAUUCCUUGAUUCCCAGUUGUGAACUCACCAAGAACAGGUGCUAUGUCUGAUUGGCUUUCUUACCUCCCAAGUCCAGGACCACACCUUUCAUCCAUGUAUUUGUUCAUUCAAUAAAUAUUUGAAUGACUCCACAUAAAUAUGAAUUUGCAUCCCCGAUCCAGGGUCUGUAACAGAGGAAAACAUCCAGCUCUCCUCAAGUGUACCAGCUUAAUUCAUCCAGCCCAUAUUGGCACCAUGCUCAGAAAGUACCUGCCUCCUAAAAAAUCAGCACAAUACUAAAAUCGUGUUCAACAGAGUAGAAUGUUCAUUCAUUUCAUGAACAUUUAUAGAACACUGUGAGCCAGGCAUGGCCUAGGUUUGGGGAACACAGGACUGCGAAAGACAUCAAUUCACAGCCUGGAGGGGAGAAGAGAAACAGACUAUUACAAUGUCUGUCCUAUAAACAGCGUGUGACUUGGUGCCUUGGGACUGCAGAGGAAGGAGGAACCAACUCUCCAUUUGGCAUCACAGGGGCUUCACAGAGGGAUAACAUCUGAGCUGGGUCUCAGGAUGAGCAGUUUUCCAAGCAGAGAAGGGAGAAGCCCAUUUGGUAUAACGGCAGGAAAAUGAGAAUCCCAGAUUUCACUCAUUUUCAUGCAUUCAUUUCACUCCCUCAGAUUGCAAAAUCAGUUAAGAGGAAAAUUGUAAGCAACCUCAAAUGGCCAACAAAAAAAGACUGGUUAAAUCAUUGCACUGCAAAUGACAGAAAGCUUGAUGACAUUCAGAGGUAUAUUUUAGAUGACUGGCAAAAUUCUUUAUCCUGACUGUGGUGGUAGGUACAUGACUGCAUGCGUUUGUCAAAUCUAACAGAACUGUACAUUAAUGUGUAAACUGUGUCCUAACUUUAAAAAAUUGAAGUAUAGUUGAUUUACGAUGUUGUGUUAGUUUCAGGUGUAUAGCAAAGUGAUUCGGUUAUGCAUACAUAUAUAUCUAUUUUUUUUUCAGAUUCUUUUCCCUUAUAGGUUAUUACAAAAUGAUUAAGUAUAGUUCCCUGUGCUAUACAGUAGGUCCUUGUUGGUUAUCUAUUUUAUCAACAUAUACCUAAUUUUUUUAAUGGGGAAAAAAACUUCAAAAAAUACCAAGUUACACACAAGUAUAUAGAGUGUGAGCCCCAAUUCAAACAAGGGAAGUUUGUGUUUAGUUGAAGUCUGUAUUAUCGAAAAUGUAUUAGCUUGUAUCUGAAAAAUUCUAAAUAUGACUGAUAUUAAUCCAAGUGAUACAAUUUUCAUAAAAUGAGUCUUACAUGAAAUAUUUUUGAAAAGUGAAAUUCAAUUUUCACUCUCAAAUUUGUAAAACAAAAACAUGUAUGUCUAUAUGUGAAAACAUU